rnacentral:rRNA from 1 species
AUUGAACGCUGGUGGCAGGCCUAACACAUGCAAGUCGAACGGUAACAGGAAACAGCUUGCUGUUUCGCUGACGAGUGGCGGACGGGUGAGUAAUGUCUGGGAAACUGCCUGAUGGAGGGGGAUGACUACUGGAAACGGUAGCUAAUACCGCAUAACGUCGCAAGACCAAAGAGGGGGACCUUCGGGCCUCUUGCCAUCGGAUGUGCCCAGAUGGGAUUAGCUUGUUGGUGGGGUAACGGCUCACCAAGGCGACGAUCCCUAGCUGGUCUGAGAGGAUGACCAGCCACACUGGAACUGAGACACGGUCCAGACUCCUACGGGUGGCAGCAGUGGGGAAUAUUGCACAAUGGGCGCAAGCCUGAUGCAGCCAUGCCGCGUGUAUGAAGAAGGCCUUCGGGUUGUAAAGUACUUUCAGCGGGGAGGAAGGGAGUAAAGUUAAUACCUUUACUCAUUGACGUUACCCGCAGAAGAAGCACCGGCUAACUCCGUGCCAGCAGCCGCGGUAA